UACGUAGGGGGCAAGCGUUGUCCGGAAUCAUUGGGCGUAAAGCGCGCGUAGGCGGCUCGAUCAGUCUGCUGUAAAAGUCAAAGGCUCAACCUUUGAAUGCCGGUGGAUACUGUCGGGCUAGAGUCCGGAAGGGGCGAGUGGAAUUCCUGGUGUAGCGGUGAAAUGCGCAGAUAUCAGGAGGAACACCAAUGGCGAAGGCAGCUCGCUGGGACGUGACUGACGCUGAGACGCGAAAGCGUGGGGAGCAAACAGG
rnacentral:rRNA from 1 species